rnacentral:rRNA from 1 species
AGUGAACGCUGGCGGUAGGCCUAACACAUGCAAGUCGAACGGCAGCACAGGAGAGCUUGCUCUCUGGGUGGCGAGUGGCGGACGGGUGAGGAAUACAUCGGAAUCUACUCUGUCGUGGGGGAUAACGUAGGGAAACUUACGCUAAUACCGCAUUCGACCUACGGGUGAAAGCAGGGGACCUUCGGGCCUUGCGCGAUUGAAUGAGCCGAUGUCGGAUUAGCUAGUUGGCGGGGUAAAGGCCCACCAAGGCGACGAUCCGUAGCUGGUCUGAGAGGAUGAUCAGCCACACUGGAACUGAGACACGGUCCAGACUCCUACGGGAGGCAGCAGUGGGGAAUAUUGGACAAUGGGCGCAAGCCUGAUCCAGCCAUACCGCGUGGGUGAAGAAGGCCUUCGGGUUGUAAAGCCCUUUUGUUGGGAAAGAAGUCCAGCUGGCUAAUACCCGGUUGGGAUGACGGUACCCAAAGAAUAAGCACCGGCUAACUUCGUGCCAGCAGCCGCCGUAA